rnacentral:rRNA from 1 species
AUUGAACGCUGGCGGCGGGCCUAACACAUGCAAGUCGAGCGAGCGGCGGACGGGUGAGUAAUGUCUGGGAAACCGCCUGUUGGAGGGGGGUCACUGCUGGAAACGGUAGCGAAUACCGCAUCCCAGAAGAUGUGCGGAGAUGGGAGUAGCUAGUAGGUGGGGUGAUGGCUCACCUAGGGCACGAUCCGUAGCUGGUCUGAGAGGAUGACCAGCCACACUGGAACUGAGACACGGUCCAGACUCCUACGGGACGCAGCAGUGGGGAAGAGUGCACAAUGGGCGAAAGGCUGAGGCAGCCAUGCCGCGUGUGUGAAGAUGGUCUGCGGGUUUUAAAGCACUUUAAGUGGGGAGGCGGUACCCACAGAAGAAGCACCGGCUAACUACGUGCCAGCCGCCGCGGUAAUUC